rnacentral:rRNA from 1 species
UCCGUUGUAUAAUCCGAAGACGUGAUGUGGAGCGAAAUAAAGUAGUGAAGCGUGUGAGCCAUGUGCCGAGGAAAGCUGCUAUUGUGUAAUGCGUGCCCGUACCGUAAACCGACACAGGUGGAUGAGGAGAGAAUCCUAAGGCCGACGGAAGAAGCAUUGUUAAGGAAUUCGGCAAAAUGACCCCGUAACUUCGGGUGAAGGGGUGCCUGCGAGAGCAGGCCGCAGAGAAUAGGCUCAAGCAACUGUUUAGCAAAAACACAGGUCUAUGCGAAACCGAAAGGUGAAGUAUAUGGGCUGACGCCUGCCCGGUGCUGGAAGGUUAAGAGGAGAGGUUAGCGUAAGCGAAGCUUUGAAUUUAAGCCCCAGUAAACGGCGGCCGUAACGAUAACGGUCCUAAGGUAGCGAAAUUCCUUGUCGGGUAAGUUCCGACCCGCACGAAAGGCGUAAUGAUUUGAGCACUGUCUCGACAAUGCAUCCGGUGAAAUUGAAGUACCAGUGAAGAUGCUGGUUACCCGCGCCAGGACGGAAAGACCCCAUGGAGCUUUACUCCAGUUUGAUACUGGGAUUCGGUACUGCAUGUACAGGAUAGGUGGGAGACAAAGAAGGAUGGACGCCAGUCUGUCCGGAGUCGCUGUUGGGAUACCACCCCUGUAGUACUGGGUUUCUAACCAGUUGCCAUGAACUGGCAAUGGGACAAUGUCAGGCGGGGAGUUUGACUGGGGCGGUCGCCUCCGAAAGGGUAUCGGAGGCGCUCAAAGGUUCCCUCAGAAUGGUUGGAAACCAUUUGAAGAGUGCAAAGGCAGAAGGGAGCUUGACUGCGACACCGACGAGUGGAGCAGGUACGAAAGUAGGACUUAGUGAUCCGGUGGUAUAAAGUGGGAUUGCCAUCGCUCAACGGAUAAAAGCUACCCUGGGAUAACAGGCUUAUCACUCCCAAGAGUUCACAUCGACGGAGUGGUUUGGCACCUCGAUGUCGGCUCAUCGCAUCCUGGGGCUGUAGCAGGUCCCAAGGGUUGGGCUGUUCGCCCAUUAAAGCGGUACGCGAGCUGGGUUCAGAACGUCGUGAGACAGUUCGGUCCCUAUCCGGCGCGGGCGGAGGAUAUUUGAGAGGAGCUGUCCUUAGUACGAGAGGACCGGGAUGGACGGACCACUGGUGUAUCUGUUGUCGACCAACGGCAUGGCAGAGUAGCCGAGUCUGGAAGGGAUAAACGCUGAAGGCAUCUAAGCGUGAAGCCCCCCUCAAGAUGAGAUAUCCCUCCUUCGGGAGUAAGACCCCUUGAAGACUACAAGGUAGAUAGGGCAGAGGUGGAAGCAUGGCAACAUGUGGAGCUGACUGUUACUAAUAGGUCGAGGGCUUG